rnacentral:rRNA from 1 species
AUUGAACGCUGGCGGCAGGCCUAACACAUUCAAGUCGAACGAGUGGCGGACGGGUGAGUACUGUCUGGGAAACUGCCUGAUGGAGGGGGAUCACAAAUGGAACCGGUAGCUAAUACAGCAUACCAUCAGAGGUGCCCAGAUGGGAUUGGCUAGUUGGUGGGGUAACGGCUCACCAAGGCGACGAUCCCUAGCUGGUCUGGAGGGAGGACCAUCCACACUGGAACUGAGACAUGUUCCAGAAUCCUACGGUAGGCAGCAGUGGGGAAUAUUGCACAAUGGGCGAGAGCCUGAUGCAGCCAGGCCGCGUGGAUGAAGAAGGCCUUCGGGUUGUAAAGUACUUUCAGCGGGGAGGCGUUACCCGCAGAAGAAGCACCGGCUAACUCCGUGCCAGCAGCCGCGGUAAUAC